UCCACGUGGAGGAGGAGGAGGAGGAGAAAACAGAUGAGAGGGUGGUGGUGGAGGGGUGAAGGAGUGGGAAGGAGGUGGUGGAGGCUUAAAGGAUGGUGGUGGUGGGUUGAAAGGGUGAGAAGGUGGUGGAGAAGGGUAGAAUGGGAAAUUGAAGUUGUUGGGAUUCGAAGAGGCCAUAAUGGAUCUUAUUCUAUAUAUGUGAUAUGUGAUUACUGAUUAU
rnacentral:lncRNA from 1 species